rnacentral:lncRNA from 1 species
AAUGUCUCUGUUAGAUUCUCCGGUCGAAAUAAGGGAAAGGUCAAUUCAAUUCUCGAUGGAAACGGAAUUUUGCGAAUUCUCCCCCGAACUGGAAGAUCAUUUCGAGAUCUUCGAACAUAUUCGAGGGUUCAAUGUUACUAUUGUAACUUCGGCCAACACACAAGAUGAGACUUUACCUUUGCAUAUUUUCCCCCAAACUGGAAGAACAUUUCGAGAUCUUCGAACAUAUUCGAGGGUUCAAUGUUACUAUUGUAACUUCGGCCAACACAUAAGAUGAGACUUUGCCACCGUGGAGCGGCUUUUUGCAAAAAGAUGAGGGGGAAACUC